CAGGAAUAUGUGUCCCUAAGUGCAUUACUUGGACCUUACCCACCCUGCUUUGGCUGCUGGGAGUUGCCCCAUGACUGUCAUCUGGGGACUGCCCUUAGCUCCCAGAGGCCUUAUUCUGACCCUUGCAUGAGGACCCCUACUUCCUGAGCCAGUAACGAUAAUGUUUGAUGGAGCAAGGAUCCUGAAAUUUACAUGUUAAAAUAGUCUGGCCAUUUGAAAAAGACCAUGGAGUAAAUACAGCUUUAUUUCAAGACUUUUGAAGGUAUGUUUCAAAUACAUCAAAUAACAUGUGGCUAGAUUUUUAAGUGGCUAUAUUCUUUAUUUG